rnacentral:rRNA from 1 species
UGAGUACGAGACGCUAAGGCGUCGAAGUAGUGUAUGUCAUACUUCCAAGAAAAGCUUGCACUGUCAUUCAUAAAAAAUGCCUGUACCAUAACCGACACAGGUGGGUAGGUAGAGUAUACUAAGGGGCGCGAGAUAACUCUCUCUAAGGAACUCGGCAAAAUAACUCCGUAACUUCGGGAGAAGGAGUGCCUUAUUUAUAUAAGGUUGCAAUAACAAGAUCCAAGCAACUGUUUACCAAAAACACAGGUCUCCGCUAAGUCGUAAGACGAUGUAUGGGGGCUGACGCCUGCCCAGUGCCAGAAGGUUAAAGAAGUUGGUUAGCAAUAGCGAAGCUGAUAACUGAAGCCCUGGUGAACAGCGGCCGUAACUAUAACGGUCCUAAGGUAGCGAAAUUCCUUGUCGGGUAAGUUCCGACCCGCACGAAAGGCGUAAUGAUUUGGAUACUGUCUCGGAGAGGGACUCGGUGAAAUAGACUUGUCUGUGAAGAUGCGGACUACCUGCACCUGGACAGAAAGACCCUAUGAAGCUUUACUGUAACUUGAAAUUGAAAUUGGACUUUAUUCGCGCAGUAUAGGUGGGAGGCGUUGAAAAUAAUCUUGCGGGACUAUUGGAGCCAUCAGUGAGAUACCACUCUUAUAAUGUUAGAUUUCUAACUUUGAAUCAUUAUCUGGUCAAAGAACAGUUUCAGGCGGGCAGUUUGACUGGGGCGGUCGCCUCCCAAACGGUAACGGAGGCGUACAAAGGUUUCCUCUGAACGGGUAGAAAUCGUAUCUAGAGUAUAAAGGCAAAAGGAAGCUUGACUGUGAGACCUACAAGUCGAGCAGGGACGAAAGUCGGUCUUAGUGAUCUGACGGUACUGAGUGGAAAGGCCGUCACUCAACGGAUAAAAGUUACUCUAGGAUAACAGGCUGAUCUCCCCCAAGAGUUCACAUCGACGGGGAGGUUUGGCACCUCGAUGUCGGCUCAUCGCAUCCUGGGGCGGUAGUACGUCCCAAGGGUUGGGCUGUUCGCCCAUGAAAGCGGUACGCGAGCUGGGUUCAGAACGUCGUGAGACAGUUCGGUCCAUAUCCGGUGUAGGCGUUAGAAUAUUGAGAGGAGCCUUCUUUAGUACGAGAGGACCGAGAAGGACAUACCUCUGGUGUACCAGUUAUCGUGCCAACGGUAAACGCUGGGUAGCUAUGUAUGGAGUGGGUAACCGCUGAAAGCAUCUAAGUGGGAAGCCCACCUCAAGAUGAGUAUUCUC